rnacentral:rRNA from 1 species
AACGAACGCUAGCGGCAUGCCUAACACAUGCAAGUCGAACGAGAUCUUCGGGUCUAGUGGCGCACGGGUGCGUAACGCGUGGGAAUCUGCCCUUUGGUUCGGAAUAACAGUUGGAAACGACUGCUAAUACCGGAUGAUGACGACAGUCCAAAGAUUUAUCGCCAGAGGAUGAGCCCGCGUAGGAUUAGCUAGUUGGUGUGGUAAAGGCGCACCAAGGCGACGAUCCUUAGCUGGUGUGAGAGGAUGAUCAGCAACACUGGGACUGAGACACGGCCCAGACUCCUACGGGAGGCAGCAGUGGGGAAUAUUGGACAAUGGGCGAAAGCCUGAUCCAGCAAUGCCGCGUGAGUGAUGAAGGCCUUAGGGUUGUAAAGCUCUUUUACCCGGGUUGAUAAUGACAGUACCGGGAGAAUAAGCUCCGGCUAACUCCGUGCCAGCCGCCGCCGUAA